CCCCCUUUUUCCUUUUUAUAUUGAGACAGGAUCUUACUAAGCUGUCCCAGCAGGCUUUAAACUCACUCCAUCUGAGGCAGGCUUGGAACACACGAUUCCCCUGCUUUGGAUUCAUGAGUAGCUGUGAUUACAGGCCUGUAUCUCCAAGCCUGGCUUGGCCCCGCUUUAAAGACUUACACAGUACAAUUACAAUAGCAAUGACCACACAGAGAGCAAUUCCUAGACCUUUAGUCAGGACAUCCCCACGAGAAACAAGAUGACAGCGUGACAUGGGUAUCUCUGAGAGUAUGCCAAGGAACCGGCCCAUUUGGGAGGUGCCAGUUGUCACAUGUCUCCGACACCGUGUCAGGCCAUGGAAGGGCUGAAUCUCUAGUUCCUACCAAUCAGCAGCCUCUCUCUGCUGCAAUUAGCUCACACUUUGGUAGAUUCACUUUCACCCGACAGCAUUGUGUGUGUGUGUGUGUGUACACAUACGUGUGUGUGUGUAUGUGUGUGUGUGUGUGUACUGACUUUUCUUCCUUUUUAGGUACCUCAUUUGCAUGAAGGCCCGCCUGUAAGCUUUCUGGGAGAAAAGAUAUGAGGAUCCCAAGGCUGAAGUCGGGGCCUAUCUCCAGUGUGAGUGGUAAGAGAGGCCAUAUAGUACGGUUGGCCGUAAGACCAUGAGACCACACACCAGCAAUGGCCAAGAAUGGAAACCCCUAGUGUCCUUGGCAGGACGAAAGCAUAGCACGAAGGAGCAUCGGCGAUGCCUCUCACCCCCUGCAGGACUGGACAAAGACGGCCCUUGGAAGAACCCACCGGGUAGCCAGGGAAGAAUCAUCUGGGAGUGGCCUUGCCUAUGGCAGUGUCCACGAGGGAGGAGCAGAUGGGAGCACUGAAGAGCCCAACAGGUUAAUGGAUUGAACUCAGAUCACCUGGUUUGCCCACCAAACACUUUGGCCCACUAAGCCAUCUCAUCCACCCAGUCAGGAUGAUUCUAGAAACUUUUAAGGAAGCAAGCACUGAAGGGAAAGCAAACUGAAUAAAGUCCAUCUUUAAUCUGCGGUCUUCAGGGGAAGAAACUCAUAAGAAGUCCAGUAUCGGCAGGGUGGUUCGGUGAGUAAAAAGCACUUGCCAUAUAUGUCUGAUGACUUGAGUUUGAUUUCUGGGACCUGCUUAGAGCUGUACAGAGAAAGCCAGCUCCAUAGGGUUGCCCUCUGACCCCACACGGGUGCUACAGCAAUGCUCUACCUAACUAACCACUUACAC